UGUCUUAUAGUCAUGAAUGAUACUAAAAUGCAAAUUUAGAGGAGUAAAUUUUACUAAGACUU
rnacentral:tRNA from 1 species